GCACGCAGGCGGUUUGGUAAGUCAGGGGUGAAAGGCCACAGCUUAACUGUGGUAUUGCCUUUGAUACUGCCUUUCUUGAGUACAGUAGGGGGAAGCGGAAUUCCGAGUGUAGAGGUGAAAUUCGUAGAUAUUCGGAGGAACACCGGUGGCGAAGGCGGCUUCCUGGACUGUAACUGACGCUCAUGUGCGAAAGCGUGGGGAGCAAACAGGAUUAGAUACCCUGGUAGUCCACGCCCUAAACGAUGGGCACUAGGUGUGGGAGGUAUCGACCCCUUCCGUGCCGCAGCUAACGCAUUAAGUGCCCCGCCUGGGGAGUACGGCCGCAAGGUUGAA
rnacentral:rRNA from 1 species